rnacentral:lncRNA from 1 species
UAAUAAUAACAAUAAUAAUACCAAUAGCAAUACCAAUAGCAAUAAUAUUAGUGACAAAAUAACCACAACUCAUAACAAUUUUAAUAAACUAAAAAAUGUGAAUAGUGAUAACUAUAUAUGUAGAGACCAAGUAAAGCAAUUGACUAAAAUUAAUAUCUUAGGUAAUAAUAAAAGUAAAAUAAAACAUAGGAAUAUUAAUAAUGGCCAUCAAUCUACUAAUAGUAUUAGUGUAAAUAAUGAUACCACACAACAUGCUAACAUUACUUUUACUAGUGCUACCAUAUAUUAUAGUAAUAAUAAUCAUAUUAAUGACACUACUACCACCACUACUAAUAACAGUACAACCACUAAUAACAGUACUAAUAAUACUCCAACUGCUACUACUGCUACAACUAAUAAUAACAAUGAAAAGAAAAAUAAUGCUUACAAAACUGCAUCUAUGGAGAAUGGUAUUUAUGAUAACAAAAAAGAAUGUAUAAUUAAAGCAUCAUCAUAUAUAGACAAAAAUGAACCCACAUAUGUAAACAGUCAAGUAACCAGUAAAAAUAUGAUUGAAGAAAAUGGUAUACAUUUAUCGACUAAUACGAGUAUGAAUGAAAAAAAAAAUAAUAAAAAUGUUCGUACUGAUAACAAUAGGGACAACAUUUGUGAUAGCAAUAGCGACAAUAGUUGGGAUAACAAUAGCCACGGUAAUUGUGAUAAUGAUGUCAAUAAUGAUAAUACCACUAAGAACAAUAGUUAUGGUAACAACACAUGUGUCGAUCGCGAACGGGAUGAUAUAAAUACGGACUCAGAAAAUGGUCAUAAUCAAAGUAUAAAACGUGAUAGCAUUAGUAAUACAAAUCAUAAAAAAUAUAAAAUUACAUCAGAAUUCAUUUAUAAGGUGGACUUAAAAUAUAAUAAAAAAAAUAACACAGCCCAUAACAAUAAUAAUAGUUAUAAUACCGAUGUACAUAAUGAUAUCAUAAAAAGGUUAAGCAAAAAUGUAAUAAAACAACAGUAUGUAAAAGAAAAAUAUGAUCACAAAAAAAAGAACAAAAUAAGAAAAAAACAAAAUUUAAGUAAUCACCUUUUAAAUAAUGGCUUAAAUAAUAAUACAAAUAAUUUAACAAAUAAUUUAACAGAGAUUUAUUCAAAAGAAUUAAACACAUCUAUUCUAAUGAAUCAAAAUAAGGAAACAGAAACAUAUGCAAAUAAUAACGCGAUUGAUAAUAUAAAUGUUAAUAAUAUCUAUAAAAAUCCUGAACUCGUAAUAAAUGAAAACAAACACACUGAUAAUGAUAAAAACAAUCAAACUGAUAAUGAUAAGGAUAAUAAAACUGAUAAUGAUGUAAAUAGUGAAAUCGAAAAUUGUGAAUCUAGAGCUGUGGAUAGUAAUACAAAAGAUGAAAUUGAAAGUAAUAAUAAAAUAAAAAAACAAAACGACUUGUAUGACAUAGAAAAAAAAUUAAACGAUUAUGACAUAAAUGGUAUUAAUAGAAGUAAUAAUAACAGUAGUAGUAAUAUAGGUGUUGAUAAAGAAGUGGAAAAAAUGUGUAUGGUUGAAACGAUUAAUAAAAAUGAACAUGAAAACAAAAAAGAUACUUUUAAUGGUUGUAACAAUAUAUGCAUUAAUGGUGAUUACAACGUAGAGAGUGGUGCGGAAAAUGGCAUACAAAAUGAUACACAAAAUGAUACACAAAAU